UGAGAUGGUAGAUGGUUUGGUCACUGUUUAUAGGUGUCCUGGCAGUAGGAAGCGUGGCAGGUGUGAGAGGCAUUCACUCGUACCAGGAAUGCUCUCCCCACCUUUUAAGACCCUCUCUGUUCUUCAUGCCUGUGGAUGGCAUCGUCUCCAUAUUGUUUUCACCAUCUCCUGCAACCGUCUAAUUCCCUUUGAAUGCCUGUCACACCUACCUUCUGCCAUUUCUUGGCCUCUUGUUGCCAGUUCUUCUGAGCAACUCUUCCGUUUUCCCGGUUUGACUGUAGGCCCUUUCAGUCGAGGGCCUUUCGAGACUAAAAUCACCCUUUCUAGUGAGUGUUUCAGUAAUGGCUCACGGGAGCUGUGAAUAUCAUUGCAUGUCAACACCCGUGUUUGGGCAGGUGGACAUGCUCAGGUUGGCAAGUGUUCAUGUCCUGGUAUCUGAGGCAGUGUACUAGUGUGCUGAGGACAGCUCAGAAAUGGCCAAGAUAAAAUGGAAGAGGGAGAAAUGCUACAGCGCCAAAUAGAACUCUUAGGGCCACGUCCAGGGACUAUACUCAGAAAAGGCCAGCUUUGAGCUGUGUGUUCCCUCUGGGACCAGGUGAUUACAGUUUAGGAUGGAUUGGGGAAUUUCCAUGCUGCUGGAAACACCAUAUGAGAACCUUCCUAGUAUUUGGGUUCAACAGCAAAUGCUGAGACAGAAAAAAUAUUUCCAUCCAUCUGCACUAAUCUCUUAUUUCCCUAGCAGUUAGAAAGAGAGAGAGGGGACGAAAAAAAUAAAUUAAAGGCUGCAUCAGAAAAAAAGCUCAAGAGCCAGGCUUACGCUCAGCCCGCUGCCAGGUCAUUUUCUAGUCGGUACAGGAAAUGCCAAACUUCUGCGGCUAUUGGGUGGAGGUGCUGGGAAUAUAAUCAUUUGAACUGUGAUAAUUGAAGGCAUUAAAGAAGAAAGCCCAACUGAAAAACUUCCAGAAAGGCAAAGGCACUCAGAAUUCAAAUCAGGCUGCUCGCAUCCUCCAGUUUCUAGGAAGAAAGCUGCACUUCGUCAGGACCAGGUCUCCUUUCCGUGUCCCGAGACGAUCCACCCACCUGCAGCCGGUGCUCCGUGCCAAGCAAAACCCAAACCCCGGCACCUUGCUACUUACUUAUGUGCAGACCUUCCAUGACCAGGUAUGUUUGUAUGGCAGCUAUGGGAAGGUUGAAAAGGGUCCAGUACCUUCGUAAGGCCUCAGAGAACUCAUCUGUGAACAGGUUUCUGUUCGGUGGCUUGUGCCGUGCAUGUACUACUAUGCUGGACAUUGUAGUAAUUUUUGAUCCCUGACUUGAGGAGGCUCACCGUUGGAUCAGAGGCCAUACACAAACUGGAAUUAAAAUAAAAACUUAAAAAAAAAAAAAAUGAAACGAGCCUAAGAUUGUAUGCUAACUUACUGGAAGAAAAAC